rnacentral:rRNA from 1 species
UGGGGAAUUUUGCGCAAUGGGGGAAACCCUGACGCAGCAACGCCGCGUGGAUGAUGAAGACCCUUGGGUCGUAAAAUCCUUUCGGCAGGGACGAAUAAAUGACGGUACCUGAAGAAGAAGCCCCGGCUAACUCCGUGCCAGCAGCCGCGGUAAUACGGGGGGGGCGAGCGUUGUUCGGAAUUAUUGGGCGUAAAGGGCGCGUAGGCGGUGCGGUAAGUUUGAUGUGAAACCUCCAGGCUUAACUUGGAGCUGGCAUUAAAAACUGCCGUGCUAGAGUGUGGGAGAGGAGAGUGGAAUUCCCGGUGUAGCGGUGAAAUGCGUAGAUAUCGGGAGGAACAUCGGUGGCGAAGGCGGCUCUCUGGACCACAACUGACGCUGAGGCGCGAAAGCUAGGGGAGCAAACAGGAUUAGAUACCCCCGUAGUCC